UUAAUGCAAUAGAGGAGGUAGAAUAUGAGGAAGCUCUUUGUGUUGCAAUCACACCACAUCAAUAAUAUAUAACCAAUCAAAUAUCUCCUUUUGAGAGAAAAAUAUAAUAAAAAUACUUUUUUAUAAUUCAUGAUGAGAUGAAUGAACAAUUUUUAAAAAUAUAUAAAAAUUGUAUUUUUAUAUAUAUGUAUAUUUUUAUAUGAUUUUGGUUUUGUUUUUUGUUUCGGGUUUUGGUUUAGGUUCUAUUUGGAUAUAGACCAAAAUCAUAAUUGAAUUUGAAUACGAUGAGAGUUUACUUUUUUUGUAUCUAUAACUGAAACUAUUCUCACUCAGCAUCGAUUAAGCUCAUCCAAUUCAAAAUCGAGUUCAGAUAAAAUUACGUAUCUAUAUCAAUUCACAUUCCUAAUUAGUAAUAGUAAUUUUGAAAUAAAAUUAUAGAUUUUAUUUUUUUUUCUAUUUAAUCAAAAAUAAAUUACAUAAUUAUAUGCAUGCAUUUUUCUGUUGAUUGAAAGAAAAAAAAAAGAAUUUUGUUUGAAAGCUAAAAUAUAUUAUAUUUUGGUUUUUUAAUGCAUUUAAUGCACAUAAAAUAAUUGAGAAUAAUUUUGGUUAAAAAAAUUUUUAAGCUUCCAAAGAUGGAAAAGAUUCUCAAUAUUUAUUUUUAUUUAAAUUUUUAUACAUAGUUAUUUAUUUGCUAAAAAAUAAAUAGAGCCACUAGAUAUGGCGAAAUCAUCAAAAAACUCGAUAAAAUCUAUUUUUCAUACACUAAAAUUAGUUAUUUUUAAAAAUCAUCAAAAAAACUCGAUAAAAUCUAUUUUUCAUACACUAAAAUUAGUUAUUUUUAAAAAUCAUCAAACAAACUCGAUAAAAUCUAUUUUUCAUACACUAAAAUUAAUUAUUUUUUAAAAAAACUAAAAGUUAAUGGAAUAUCAACUAAAAAAAGUUGAGAGAGCAUUUUUAAAACGGCAUAUAGUUGAGGGGAUCUCGAUACACUUUUAUUGCAGGUAAAUAUAUCAUUUUAAAAGUUAACUCAUUUUAACUAAUUAUGAUGAAACUAACAUAACUAACGGUAGGAAUAUUGAUAACAAUUUUCUGUGUUUAUAGAAACAUAUGCGAUGUUUUAGUUGUUAUAGUUAAUUAGUCUAUGAUGCAUCCCACUAAAUGCUAAAUAGUAACUUAUUAAGAAAUUUUUUAAAAUAAAAACAUUAUUUUCUAAAUUAUUUUUAAUUUUAAAUAAAUAUAAUAAUAAAAAAAUUAUAAGUAAUUUAGUGUCCACUCUUAUAUUUUUUUAGAUAUAAAUUUAAAAUUUUAAUUUUUUAUAUUAUAGUACAAAUGGUGCCUCCGGCGGAUCCAUUGGAUUCAAUAAUAAUACAAAAAAGCAAACAAGCUAAAGAGGUUCCAUUAUUUGUCACACAUUAAAGAGUCGUGUCCAAAGCUAAACGACAGGGACACGUGUCGUGUUGCAUGGAGUUGGUCCCUCUUCAUUCCCCCAACUUUUUUGCACAUAUAUAUAACUACUCAGGCCACCGACCGUCCUUAGAGCAAGUGACAAAUAACUUGAUGGUUGAUAUCCAAGACUCAAAUUCGAAUCCUAGUUGAUUUACAUUUAUAGCUAAGUUUAUUUCUAAUGAAAUAAACGAAGCGGGUAGCGUGCUAUCUAUCUCUCUCAAAAAAAAAAAACACUACAACUCAAGGCCCUUUGUUCUAGUGUAAGUAGAAGGUGAAACUCAAAUUUAAGGUGACACUCAAAUUUCAUUAUUUUCGAUGAUUAUUUUAGUGUAAGUCAAAAAUAUAGUACUAUAAUUCAAGUUAAUUACGUUAGACCUUUAUUUCACCUACUUUCGACUUUUUUUCUCUAAAGUGUCGAACUCAACUUCCACCGGACUCAAUCUUCUCUAAAAAAUUUAUUAAACAUUAAACCUAAACUCUACUUUCUUUAAAAUCGGUUAGAAUUCCCUUAUUUAUAAUAAAUUAGAAUUACCUUUAAAUAAUAAUAAAAAAUUUAAUUAUUUAAUAAGUUAAAUUUUAUAACGGUAAAUUUACCACUAUAUUUAAAAGACAACGUGAUCCACUUACUUACAUCAAAAUAAACAGUGAAACUCAAAAAACUAAUUUCAUCGACACCAAGUUACAUCAAAACAAACAGAAAAAAUAAUUGAAUUUAACUUUUAGACCGUACGAGUUACGUCAAAAUAAAUAACAAAAAAAUAAUCGCACUUCGAUCAGAGAACUCAAACACCACUACAUGCACUUGAAUUAUGUUGAAUCUACAGAUUUGUCGAUCCAAACGCCCCUUUAGUUGAAAAAGUAAUAAUAAAUAAAAAAAUUACUGUAUAUUUCUUUCAAAUUUCUAAAGUAUUAUAUAUAUAUAUAGAAUUAUGCUACUAUACUAUCAAUAGUACCAAGUUAUUGGUACUAUUGAGUUUUAGGUCGUUGGAUGAAAGGAUGUGCGGUUUUGAUGAUAGUGGUCCCCUAGGGUUGAGUGGGUGGUUGGUUUAAUAGUAUAAUCUAACGGGUGGAAAUGAUCAAAGGGUAGAUCUAAUGGUAGAAAACUCAAUAGUACCAAAGGCUUGCUACUAUCGAUAGUAUAGUAGCCGGAUUCUAU
rnacentral:lncRNA from 1 species